AUUGAACGCUGGCGGCAUGCCUUACACAUGCAAGUCGAACGGCAGCGCGGGAGCAAUCCUGGCGGCGAGUGGCGAACGGGUGAGUAAUAUAUCGGAACGUGCCCAGUAGUGGGGGAUAGCCCGGCGAAAGCCGGAUUAAUACCGCAUACGACCUGAGGGUGAAAGCGGGGGAUCGCAAGACCUCGCGCUAUUGGAGCGGCCGAUAUCAGAUUAGCUAGUUGGUGGGGUAAAGGCCUACCAAGGCAACGAUCUGUAGUUGGUCUGAGAGGACGACCAGCCACACUGGGACUGAGACACGGCCCAGACUCCUACGGGAGGCAGCAGUGGGGAAUUUUGGACAAUGGGCGCAAGCCUGAUCCAGCAAUGCCGCGUGCAGGAA
rnacentral:rRNA from 1 species